GACGAACGCUGGCGGCGUGCCUAAUACAUGCAAGUAGGACGCAGUUGCGAACGGGUGAGUAACGCGUAGGUAACUACCUAUUAGAGGGGGCUAACUAUUGGACACGAUAGCUAAUACCGCAUACUAGUAGAUGGACCUGCGUUGUAUUAGCUAGUAGGUAGGGUAAUGGCCUACUUAGGCAACGAUACAUAGCCGCCCUGGGAGGAAGGUCGGCCACAGUGGGACUGAGACACGGCACGGACUACGACGGGAGGCAGCAGUAGGGAAUCUUCGGAAAUGGGGGGAACCCUGACCGAGCAACGCCGCGUGAGUGAAGAAGGGUUUCGGAUCGUAAAGCUAUGUUGUUAAGGAAGCGGUACUUAACCAGAAAGGGACGGCUAACUACGUGCCAGCAGCCGCGGUAAUUC
rnacentral:rRNA from 1 species